UAACUGGGAGAAAAUCUGUUCAUGGGUAAGUUUUGUAUGUAGUUUAAUUUGUACCCAGCCGGUGCAAUUUAUCAUAUCAUUUUUCAGUGAGGCAAAUAUCGGAAGGAUGCUAUGGAGCUGCAGAAUUCGUUCAUACCCACAAGGAGCCGGCAUUGGAAAAUGGACUUGUACAGAUUCAAAAUCGUCCUCGGAUAAUUGAACCAGUAACCGGUCUCUGCAAUCAGACCUCAGACUUUCCUGCAGAGCCAAACUAUCGAGAUCAUGCAAAAAUUAAACCGCGCAGGUACGGAACAAACUGCCGGGUUCAGAGCAAUCAAGUGGACUGAGACCAACGGAAGUAGUUGCGAAGCAAUGCAAACAUGCGGUGACAUGCGGGAAGACGAACAAUGCAGUCACGAC